UCGGGAAGGCAGCUGCGGCGGACU
rnacentral:miRNA from 1 species